rnacentral:lncRNA from 1 species
GAACGUAAAAUCGUUAUUUCUAAAGAAAGACAAAAUGUUAGGCCACAUUAAAAAAAAAGUUUGGUCCAUCACAAUUUAGUAUUUUGAAUCUUUGAUUUAGUUCCAUUCUGAUAGAAACCAAAGCUUACUAUAAAACAAUAAAUAUUGAUAGACAUGUAAAAUCAAAACCUAACUUGUACUUGUAUUAUCAAACUAAUUUUUUUUUAACAAAGUAUGAUCAAACUAAUUAAAUCUACAUUAUUAUACCUUAAAUUUGAAACCAAA